AUUGUAGUGCAAGUGAAGAUGCUUGCUACCCGCGAUUGGACGGAAAGACCCCGUAGAGCUUUACUGCAAUUUAGCAUUGAGUUUCGGUAUUAUCUGUACAGGAUAGGUGGGAGACUGGGAAAUCACGGCGUCAGCUGUGGUGGAGUCGACCUUGGGAUACCACCCUGAUAGUACUGGAAUUCUAACCGGAGGCCAUGAAUCUGGUCACGGGACAUUGUUAGGUGGGCAGUUUGACUGGGGCGGUCGCCUCCUAAAAAG
rnacentral:rRNA from 1 species